rnacentral:rRNA from 1 species
AACGAACGCUGGCGGCAUGCCUAACACAUGCAAGUCGAACGAGACCUUCGGGUCUAGCGGCGCACGGGUGCGUAACGCGUGGGAAUCUACCCUGGGGUUCGGAAUAACCGUUAAAAAUGACUGCUAAUACCGGAUGAUGACGUAAGUCCAAAGAUUUAUCGCACAAGGAUGAGCCCGCGUAAGAUUAGCUUGUUGGUGGGGUAAUGGCCUACCAAGGCGACGAUCUUUAGCUGGGCGGAGAGGAUGAGCAGCCACACUGGGACUGAGACACGGCCCAGACUCCUACGGGAGGCAGACGUGGGGAAUAUUGGACAAUGGGCGAGAGCCUGAUCCAGCAAUGCCGCGUGAAUGAUGAAGGCCUUAGGGUUGUAAAGCUCUUUUACCAGGGAUGAUAAUGACAGUACCUGGAGAAUAAGCUCCGGCUAACUCCGUGCCAGCCGCCGCCGAAA